rnacentral:rRNA from 1 species
CAGUUCGGAUUGAAGGCUGAAAUUCGCCUUCAUGAAGCCGGAAUUGCUAGUAAUGGCAGGUCAGCAUACUGCCGUGAAUACGUUCCCGGGCCUUGUACACACCGCCCGUCACACCAUGAGAGUUGGGAAUACCCGAAGCCUGUGAGCUAACUUUUAGAGGCAGCAGUCGAAGGUAGAAUCAACGAUUGGGGUGAAGUCGUAACAAGGUAAC